rnacentral:rRNA from 1 species
GAUGAACGCUGGCGGCGUGCCUAAUACAUGCAAGUCGAGCGAACGGACGAGAAGCUUGCUGCUCUGAUGAUAGCGGCGGACGGGUGAGUAACACUUGGAUAACCUACCUAUAAGACUGUGAUAACUUCGGGAAACCGGAGCUCAUACCGGAUAAUAUUUUGAACCGCAUGGUUCAAGAGUUAAAGACGGUCUUCCUGUCACUUAUAGAUGGCUCCGCCCUGCCUUAGCUAGUUGGUAAGGUAACGGCUUCCGAAGGCAACGAUGGAUAGCCGACCUGAGAGGGCGUUCGGACAAACGGGAACAGAAUCACGGUCCAGACUCCUACGGGAGGCCGCAGUAGGGAAUAGGCAGAAAUGGGCGAAAGCCUGACGGAGCAACGUCGCGUGGGGGAUGAAGGUGCCCGGAUUGUAAAACGCGACUAUUAGGGAAGAACAUAUGUGUAAGAAACUGGGGAAAGCUUGACGGUACAUUACUAGAAAGCCACAGCUAACGACGUG